GGUCAAGCGAAAGUAGGGCGCACGGUGGAUGCCUUGGCACGGACAGGCGAAGAAGGGCGCGAUAAGCUGCGAUAAGCUUCGG
rnacentral:rRNA from 1 species